GCCAGGCCUGGUGGUGCACGCCUGUAAUCCCAGCUACUUGGAGGCUGAGGUGGGAGGAUUGCUUGAACCCAGGAGGUGGAGGUUGCAGUGAGCCAAGAUUGUGCCACUGCACACCAGCCUGGGUAACAGAGUGAGACUCCAUUUCAU
rnacentral:SRP_RNA from 1 species